rnacentral:rRNA from 1 species
AUGGUGGCAACUUUCUGCGUUUUACCAUGGCAAUUCUCUAUGUUCUUGCAUGGCAAUUCCCUAAGAUGUUCCUAUCAUGAUAACUUUUAUCCUACGUGUACCAUGUCAGUUCUCUCGCUGCAUCAUUGCUACGUGUACCAUGUCAGUUCUCUCGCUGCAUCAUUGCUACAUGUACCAUGGGUGAAUGAUUCAACAACGAGGACUCCAAUGAGGGCGAGUCUUCGUCAUGCGCACAACGUCGUUCACAGGAGCACCCCAGUGCGAACAUCGUCGUUCACUCGCGAGAGCCUCCUAACGCAUAUGACUGUUCACGCGCCAGGGUGCGCUAGGAGCGUAUGUUUGCUUCCUUAG